UGUUCCAUCCAUCAGCACAAAUUAUAAGAUAUAUAUCAUGCUUUGGAUGAUGUGUAAAAAUGUCAUCCAAUUGUUCAUAUGAAAGAAGAUUAAUUAUUGCUUCGUACGAAGGAUACAACCCACGCUCCCUGAAAGGUGGAAGGUGCUUUACAAAAAAAAAGAAAGUAUGUACAAGCUCCUUGUAGCUUAGCUAUGGUUAGUGGGUAUGCCGAUUUUUUUUUAAAUA
rnacentral:lncRNA from 1 species